UACAGAGGUGGCAAGCGUUGUUCGGAAUUACUGGGCGUAAAGGGCGCGUAGGCGGCCUUCUUAGUCGGACGUGAAAUCCCCAGGCUUAACUUGGGAACUGCGUCCGAUACUGGGAGGCUUGAGUGCGGGAGAGGGAUGUGGAAUUCCAGGUGUAGCGGUGAAAUGCGUAGAGAUAUGGAGGAACACCAGUGGCGAAGGCGACUUUCUGGUCGUGUAACUGACACUGAGGCGCGAAAGCGUGGGGAGCAAACAGG
rnacentral:rRNA from 1 species